UCUUUCAGCAUAAACGCCUCAGCUGGCUGAAAAGAAGGGUCCCCGAGAGGAGUGCGCUGCCACGAUGGUCAGGUGUGUGCGAUGACACUGGGUCUGUUUCACUCAUGCAGGUCGGAGCUCCCUGUCUGGAGGCCGCGCUGAGGAAGUUCGAUGACGUCUAUAGAAAGGGAAGCAGAGGCACAGAGGGUGGCAGCCGGCUCACCAUCCUUGCCCUUUUGUAUGACUGCCACCUGGUUCGCUGUGUGCUGGAAACAAUGUUGGUUCUGAAGAACAGUGACAUGCAGAGGAUUCCGGGCUGUGAGCCUGAGCCUGUGGAGAAACUGAGGAAAUUGCUAAGAGCGGAAGCAAUUGACUGGUGGACUUCAGGGGUUCUUAUGUAUGAACUAUUGACAGUCGAUGGGGAGAAUUCCCAACCUGGGCUGUCUAGG